UAGUUGAGCAAAGGAAGAAGAGGGAGAUCAAAGCUGCUAAGAAGAGUGCAAUAGGGGCUGGUCCAAACAGCAUUGGGAAUAGGACUUUUCCCCAAGAGCAACCUGGCUGUGAACCAUUGAGUAAGAGGAAAGGUUCACACAGUCAACAAGGGCAGCCACAAGCCAAGCAUCACACCACCCCCUCUUCCAGCCAACCUGAACCAAAUGCUACUGGAGUGCAGACAAGGAGGGCUAAGCUGCUGACUUCCAGACAAGGAGGGCUGACACAAUGAUGUUUGAAUUGUUUUUCUGAACUUUAGUUGUUGGUUGUAUUUUCUGAACAAUCAGUUGCAAUAUUUGCAGCUUUACUUUUGGGUAUAGGACAAGGAUCCUGUUUUGUUAAAUUAAUAAUUUGCUUUAAGGCUUUACCAGCCAAUUUUGUUAGGCACUGCAACAACAAAUUUGAUCAACAACUUAAAUGCAAUAUCAACUACUUAGGUACUUACUUAA